rnacentral:pre_miRNA from 1 species
AUUCUACUCCGUCCGUUGCACAAUACAUGCCUUCUAUUUGUCAAAAUAUAUAUGUAUCUAGACAUGUUUUAGUAUAUAGGUACAUCCAUUUUUGGACAAAUGGAAGUCAAGUAUUUUGGAACGGAGGGAGUACACA